rnacentral:tRNA from 1 species
AAGGAUUUAGGUUAAAUAAACUCGUAACCUUCAAAGUUAUCAAUAAAGAAAAUCUUUAAGCCUUA